GCACGGUUAGCUCAGAUGGAUAGAGCGUUGGCCUCCGAAGCCAAAGGCCACAGGUUCGACUCCUGUACCGUGCACCA
rnacentral:tRNA from 1 species